UGUGUGUGUGUGUGUGUGUCCCUUUGUAUAUGUGUAUACAUACACACAAUACACACACACACAUACCCAUAUUACAUCAUACACACACACACACACACA
rnacentral:miRNA from 11 species